rnacentral:rRNA from 1 species
CCUACGGGAGGCAGCAGUGGGGAAUAUUGGGCAAUGGGCGCAAGCCUGACCCAGCAACGCCGCGUGAAGGAAGAAGGCUUUCGGGUUGUAAACUUCUUUUCUGAGGGACGAAGAAAGUGACGGUACCUCAGGAAUAAGCCACGGCUAACUACGUGCCAGCAGCCGCGGUAAUACGGAGGGGGCAAGCGUUAUCCGGAUUUAUUGGGUGUAAAGGGCGCGUAGGCUGGAUAGCAAGUCAGAUGUGAAAGCUCAGGGCUCAACCCUGAGCCUGCAUUUGAAACUGUUUUUCUUGAGUGCUGGAGAGGCAAUCGGAAUUCCGUGUGUAGCGGUGAAAUGCGGAGAUAUACGGAGGAACACCAGUGGUGAAGGCGGAUUGCUGGACAGUAACUGACGCUGAGGCGCGAAAGCGUGGGGAGCAAACAGGAUUAGAUACCCCAGUAGUC